rnacentral:rRNA from 1 species
UACGUAGGGUGCAAGCGUUGUCCGGAAUUAUUGGGCGUAAAGAGCUCGUAGGCGGUUCGUCGCGUCGGCUGUGAAAACCCGGAGCUCAACUCCGGGCCUGCAGUCGAUACGGGCGGACUAGAGUUCGGCAGGGGAGACUGGAAUUCCUGGUGUAGCGGUGAAAUGCGCAGAUAUCAGGAGGAACACCGGUGGCGAAGGCGGGUCUCUGGGCCGAUACUGACGCUGAGGAGAGAAAGCGUGGGGAGCGAACAGG